GGUGUGAUGGCCGAGUGGUUAAGGCGUGAGACUUGAACUUGCAAGUUUGCUAUCUCAUGGAUUCGUCCGCGUAGGUUCGAACCCUGCUCACAUCG